GUUACAUUCAAGUUUGGGAUCCUCCUCCAACGGUCUUUUUCUUUUCUCCGAGGCGGGAGAACACUUUUGGAAACACUGAAGCGAUUGAAUAUGGAGGACUUUGUUAAACUAAAGUUAACAGAACGGCAACUUCUUGAGCUGAUUGACACUUUUGCAGAUUGUGCAGGACUUCGAGGUUCUUCAUAAAGAGGCAUCAGACUAAAUCUUUGACCUGGAGGAGGUUCAGCGAGAAGCUUGUUCAUGCGGCCCAGUGGGAGGGGUAGAAGCUCCACGUGCAGACAGAGACAGAG